rnacentral:rRNA from 1 species
GUACGCUGGCGGCACGCCUAACACAUGCAAGUCGAACGAAGUAGCAAUACUUAGUGGCAGACGGGUGAGUAACAUGUAGGUAUCUACCCUUUGGCCUGGAAUAACACGAGGAAACUUGUGCUAAUACCGGAUAAGUCUUUACGGAGAAAGCUUUAUGCACCAUUGGAUGAGCCUGCACUUGAUUAGUUUGUUGGUGGGGUAAUGGCCUACCAAGACUGUGAUCAAUAGCUGAUUUGAGAGGAUGAUCAGCCACAUUGGGACUGAGACACGGCCCAAACUCCUACGGGAGGCAGCAGUGGGGAAUCUUGCACAAUGGAGGAAACUCUGAUGCAGCGAUGCCGCGUGAGUGAAGAAGGCCCUUGGGUUGUAAAGCUCUUUCGUCGGGGAAGAAAAUGACUGUACCCGAAUAAGAAGGU